CCACGUGCCCAUCCCUGGAGACCAGGAGUGAGAUCUGCUCUACGCCAACCACAUGAACUAUGAGACAGGGGAAUAGUGGCCCCUAAAGGAAAAUCUAGGUGCUAUUACCAGAAAAGAAGGAAAGAAAUGUUGAGCAGACAAAAACAGCAGAGGUCUGCACAGAUGGGAAGAUGCUUUCUUUAUGCUGACACUGGGGAUAAAAUAAAUGCUCAAAGAAGGCACAGUACAAAAACUUACUCAGGUAGGAUAUAUAGUGAAGCUUUUAGACUAAGUCGUUGCCAGUGAUUAACGGAAGCUUUUUCUUAGUCAUUUCAUCUUUCAAAAUAGAGGGGAAACUGGGAGUCUGGAAUUAGCACUCAUUGUUUGACUGUUCAAAGGCCUGGUAUAGUUUGAUGCUCAGGUACCUCAUAUUCAACAAGAAAUGAAAACCUUGGAGUGAGAAGGACCCUCUUUCACCCUCCUCUGUGCUGUGGGAUGCCAAGGCUUACAGAGCACCACAACUCCCCCAGCCUCUGGCUUCCGCUUGCUCUCAGCUGCUGGAGUUCUGGCUGGAGACGGAAGGGCGGGAGGAAAGUGAGGCUGGAGUGUUUGUUCCCAAGGCGACCUUCCUGCAAAACCACAGCUCCUUUCAGGGAGCCUUCUCGCACAGCUACGGCGACCCUUGCAGCUCUGCCUGGGUUCUGACUCUUUGCUUGGCUACAAACUGUUGAAGCAACCGUGCUUCCUUCAGAGAGGCGGGUUGUCCAGUGCAGAGAUGAAGAGCUGGCUGCAGAGACAGGCCUUUCGGGUUUGAAUCAGGCUUCGCAGUCUCUCGAGCUGCAGGUUCGUGGGCAAGCAAGGGAACCACUCAAGGUUCAACUUUCUCAUCUGUAAAAUGAAGAUCAUGACAGUACCUAUCUCCUGUUAGUUUGUUGUGGGAUCGUGUUAAAUAAGUUAACAUAGUAAAGCAUUUCGACUAAUGUGCUAACAUAAACCUAGUAUGACAUAAAACCUAACGUUUUAUUUUCUCAAUAAGUACUAGCUGCUGCUGCUUGUUGCUGUAACAAAAAAAAAAAAUAACAUCUAACUUCU
rnacentral:lncRNA from 1 species